rnacentral:rRNA from 1 species
CAGCCGCCACGGGAAUACGGAGGGUGCAAGCGUUAAUCGGAAUUACUGGGCGUAAAGCGCACGCAGGCGGUCUGACAAGUCAGAUGUGAAAUCCCCGGGCUUAACCUGGGAACUGCAUUUGAAACUGUCAGGCUGGAGUCUUGUAGAGGGGGGUGGAAUUCCAGGUGUAGCGGUGAAAUGCGUAGAGAUCUGGAGGAAUACCGGUGGCGAAGGCGGCCCCCUGGACAAAGACUGACGCUCAGGUGCGAAAGCGUGGGGAGCAAACAGGAUUAGAGACCCCUGUAGUCCCUGUCUCUUAUAC